rnacentral:lncRNA from 1 species
AAUUUUACAGGUAUUAGCUCCUUCACUGAGAAACUCUUUUUUCAAAAAGACUAUCCGACUGCUGACAAACACCUUUUGUUCUGCAGUGAGAUAGAAGUAGUAUCCUUUAAUUUUCUUUGGAUACCCUACGAGCAAGCAUCUGUCAGACUUCAAUCUAAGUUUAUCUAUCUUUAAAUGUUUGACAUAAGUUGGACACCCC